UAACAUGAGAAAUAUUACACCAAACACAAAAUCGGGUCAUAAGUGCGAAUGACCCUGUAAUUUUUGGUGUUAGCCAUGGGCCACUAGCGAGUAGCGAGUAGCGAGUAGCGAGUAGUGUUGUGUGUGGAGACUGGAGACUAAUAACUUGGAUAUUAAACCCUCCUAAAAUCUCAGCCCUUCCUAGAUUUGCCACGCCAAGCCGCUUCUGACUAGUUCCCAUCCGCAAACAAAAAGAGUCAAUAUGUGAUAUUCAUUCAUCUUCUUCCUUCCUUCAAAUCACUGAUAAGUGUUUAUUCAACAUCCAUUUUGAUUCUUGUUUUUUCCCUUCACCCAUUUACUAUCUGCUGUCAAUAUGCCUGCUUCAAAGAGUUCAGGAAACAUAAAGCUUAGGAAAAAACUAAAACUUGCUAAUUGUAUAUCCAAAGAUGAUAAGAAGACCCUAGAUUCCAAUGGAAAAGGAGCUAACAAAGCACAACAAAAUAGGGAGCAAGUUUAUGAGGGAGUAGUGAAUGGUAAGUCUGGUGGGAAAAGGAAGAGAGUUUAUGCUCAUCGAGAUAUGGACAACAGUGUUGGAAGAAGGUACUUAUUGAAAGAAGAAGGUAAAAUGGUUUUGGAGGCGCAAGAAAAGUUUUCUAGAAAGAAUGCUUUAUAUGGUGAAGGUAGAAGGUCGCUGUCUAAUGAGAGAAAAUCUAGGAACGUGAAAGUGGAUGGCUAUGGGGAAGAAGAAAAUGUUAAAAGAAAGACAUUGGACCAGAGUGGGAGCAACCAAAAAUCUCCUAGAAGAUCUUCCACAAAGAACAACUUGCAAAGGCCAAAGAAGAAAAAGCGAGUCAUUCGAAUAGAUCCUCAUGAUACCUCAAACAAGAGGCUUGAUGAUGGACUGCCAAGUAAAGAGCUCAAACAAAAUACCAGAUCAUUUUAACCAAGACAGACACGGUUUUCCCAAUAGAUGUGGCACGACGAGCCAUGCAAAUUGAAGAGAGCCUCAAGGCAAACAAGUCUGUUGUUCAGCCUGCGGUGAUGGUAAGCUCAAAAUCUGGAGCUGGUAUCCGAAGUUUAAGAACAGUGCUUGCUAAGAUCGCUCGGUUUGUGAAACCGUAAAUGUGCAGAUCACCUGCCACUAUCAGCAAGAAAUCAAUAUAUCCACGGAUGGUAUAAGAUAAAAUAUGUAGUUUUCUCUUGAUUGGUGAUGGAUGGUGGCUGUUGCAAAUGCGCAUUCCUGGUAACAUGUUUUCUGCAUGAGCGUCAACUUGGCCAUGUCACAGAACAAGACACUUUUAAAGUCUAGCAUUUUUUUAUGUGAAUUGUUGUUGCUCAGUGCUGCCCUUUGAAUAGUCUACUGAAAAUCAUUCUAUUUAUUUGUUUCCGAUAUUCAGUCUCCUAACGAUAGUGGGCACCUUUUCGUUUAGGGUCCUAAAUGGUUGUGAGGUUCUGUAGCUAUGUAAAUUCAUUGACAAUGAAGUUGGUUGACUGGUUCUAAUUUUAAAAUGCCUAGAUUCUACUGAGUGGAUGAACUUGGGUUUUCAUUGAUAAGCAGAACGACAUGGUAUGCGGCGUUGACAAUAUCGAGAUUUAGUUGUAACAGCUAAAUGAAAGAUCCUUUGACUAGUCUUACAAUGAGUUUGAAAAUCUUGGUAACUUCUAGAGAGAGGACCAAGGGAAAUUACUCAUCAUUCUCGGUUUAUGCAACGUUUUGACUUGCCUCUUAUUCUAUUUCUUUUUUAUUUUUCCAAGCUCACUUCUUUUGGUUCAUAUUUUGUAAUUCACGAAACUAAUUUUCGAAAUUCCAAUUUUGCCCUUAGGCUUCCUCAAUAUUUUUGCAUCAACAUUUUUCAUGAACAACACACAUAUAUAUAUAUAUAUAAUAAAAUCAAAAUAUGGCCUUAUUUCUUACAAGCCAAAAUUAUUUCAAAUUUUUCCGAAUAUGCAAAAAUACGGGAUAUAACAGAUCCAUAGCUACAUUCUCAGAGACUACACAACAAAGCUCCAUUUCCUUCGGAGCCAUAGCUUUUGGGUACUUAUUAUUUUGUGUACAUAAUUAUGGGCAUAGCGGGGUCCUGUCCCGCUUAUGUGAUAUGUUAUACUCUUCUUAGAGGCUCGUAGACAUGUGUAUGUGGUUAGAUGUGCUCGACCUUGUUGGUCUAUAUUUUGUAUACCAUUUUGUUGGCCUCGUCGGCCCAUGUACAUUGAUGUGGCAUAGAUGCCUAUGAUGAUAUAAAGGGGUUGUUGUCCGAAAGGUCUAGUAUGAUCGAUGGAUAGAAAUGUAUGUUUUACUAUGCGGCUCACCUAGGUGUUAUGUGAAAAUAUGUCAAGGGGUGCCUGGGUGGGAUAGCACCGGGUGCUCGUCGCGGCCCCUAAUCGGGUCGUGACAAUUUUCUAGUAUAAAUAGUAGGUCUUUUAUUUCAUUAGGGAGCAUUUUAUGAAUUAUGAAUAUUGAGUGUUUAUGUUAUCUCUAGAGAGAGAAACUUAUGAAAGGCCUAUAGAAGGCUCUUCUUGAUUAUUGUUGUUGAGAGGAUUGGUUGCUUGGGAAUUCAAUUCCCUUGAGGUCAUCCUAAGAGAUUAGGUGUUUAAUAGUGUGUAAGUAGGAGAUCUUAGUUAUUAUAGAACUUUGGUUGCCUAAUUGUGCCUAUUUUUGUGUCAAUCUAUCUAUCUAUUUCAUUUCCUUGUUAUUCCUUUGUUUUCCAUAUCCAUUAUUAUAUCAAUAUGUAUAUAAGGCACAUAUGACAGGGAGCGAAGAUGUGGCCUAUCUUAUGAUUAUAAGGCACAUUUGACAGGGGGUGAGGAUGUGACCUAUUUGGGAACUCGUGAUCUGAGGUCUAUUUCAGAGAGAGUGGACUCGUGAUCCGAGGUCAGUUCCGGAGCGAGUGGUACAUGGACGUCAUGGGUCCCCCGCAGGUCAUGACUAUUGUAUGAACAACGCCUUUAGCAUGUGUGUACAUAUUUGAGAUUGCGGAUUAGUGGCUCUGCCUAGGUUUAGAACUUGGAUUUGAGAUUAUUGAGACUCGACGAACUUGUGGUUUGGAAGCUUCAUCUUAGGCUGUGAUUCGGUUAUGGGAUGUUCUGUGACCUCGGUUUGGGUAGUAUGUGCCUAUCUUCUUAUCUUGCUGAUUUUAUGCUUAUAUGCGUGAAUUAAUCUUAGUCGGCCUAUGAUGCUUACUCAGUACUUGUUGUUUGUACUGAUGCUACUCUUGUUGUAGUCUUAUUUUGAGUGCAGAGUGUGUUACUAAUUCCAGUUCCCGUCUUCGAAAGUGGUCCAAGUCUACUCCACAGAGAUUCCAGGGUGAGCUUUUGGGCUAGAUCGGCACUCGGAGACUCUUCUUGUAUUUAACUGUCUACUUUGUAUUCUUGAGACAGUAUUGACAUUUAAGAUUUGUACGUCCCAUCGGACUUGUAUCUAUGUAAUAGUGGUUCUUGUACUAGUUCAGACCAUAUUUUGGGGUUAUUAUUACUUCCGCACU